GGUUAUGGCUCAGUGGUACAGUGCUCGCCUCGCAUGAGCAAGGCCCUGGGUUCAAUCCUCAGCACCA
rnacentral:tRNA from 1 species